UUUGGUAUAACUUGUACUUUUACAUAUGCUUUUAUGCUUCUACAAUUUUUCCUAUGUGACUCCGCUUUAAAGUCGAUACAACCAAAUCUGGUUAAUGGAUUCCAAGACUACUUUGUUGAAUGUUCCUCCAGUGUACAUGCAUGUGUAGAGGGAUGAAGCUAAUGAUAAUAUAUGUUUGUUGACCAACAAGUGUGUUCUCGUGCAGGAUGGUGAUAUUCAAUGUUUCUACCCAUUAGAACCAUUAUUUCAUAUCUCUUCCUAGCUUAAUUGUACUUAGAAAGUCAUCAAUUACCGUACAGUCAUAAUUGUAGCUCCUUCGUGCCUGCCAUUCUUUAGGAAAUAAUUGAUAGAGGUCUGCCAGUCUUCAUCUGUUGCUAGUUUUUGGGGCAAAUGCCUCUCCAGCUCCUAUAAGUGCUAUCAUCCUUGUCAAUUAUGAAUGCCUGGAUUUCAAAGUAAACUUAGCAGAACUUGGCUUGUAAUCUGCUUGUCAGAUGCUAUUACCAAAGUGUCCAAAUCAUCUACUUUGGGGUUUUUUGUACUGGAGUAAUAAUUGAUUUUCAUGGCUUCAAGCUCUAAAAUUGGUUUGUCUGAUCACCUUAGGGAGGGCUUUGGAUUGAUUAUAUCGAUUUGCUGUUGAAGAUCAAGAUUGGGAUUCUGAGAUUAGUUCUUUCUACUUUUUACGGUAUGAAAUGAAGUGGAGUUGUUAUUUGGAGUUUUCAAUCAAAGUUUUAGAUUGGGAUUCUAUCUUUUUUGAGGUUAGUAAUGUCUGAGAUUUGAAGACUAGAAAGAAAAUUGAAUUGGGCAUCAUCCAAAAUGUCACAAGUCAAAAAUUUCCUUGCUUCUACUUCCUUAUGUGUGCAGUGCAGAGGGUUUAAAAGCUGUAUAACAGGUUAACAUUUCAGAUUCGAGACUUCAAGCAAUUGACUUCUUUAGUUUGUACGAAUCCAAUUGUUGCCUGGUUCAUUUAUGCUGAUCUAAUUACCUGUACUCGAUCUUUCCUGUCAAACUGAGGUUCCGUAGUUUGGGGAGACUACUAACUGAAAGGUGUGGAUGUCCUUGGUUAUGUUGCCCCAGUUGGCAAGUAUCUUAGGUUUUUUAUUCUCAUUUUUUAUUUUAUUUUAUUUGAUGGGUGUAUUAGUAACAUAAAUUGCAUAUUGGUCAAAAGUCGACUAAGUUGGCCUAGAUUUAAUAUUGCUGUCAUUCCAUGAUUGCAGAGCAGAAAGUUUAAUGAUGACAAUGAAGAACAGCUCUUUUGAUCUUCACUUUUAAAGGUCAAGGUGCUAGCAGCAGAUAUCAGUGAUUCGAUUGAUUUUGUGGAGAACCUCGGUAGCUUAUGCUUUUAAUGGACCUGAGAAUAUUCUGAGGUAAAGUUGAAGGCAAGUCCUUGAUAUCCUUCUCUGGUUUGCUAAUACAUCACAGCAUCACCGGAAGUUCUGAGAGCAUUACUUGAAAAUUCUUGCCGUAUUUGGUGGUGUUAACACUCCUUUGUAAGUCCGAGCAAUUUUGGGCUUACCUGGUUUCGACCGGGGUUGGGCGUACUCUUAACUUAAACUGUUACAGUGUUACCUCACCUGAUACAUUGUGCCGGAUUUGGCUGAUAGUCUGACCCAAUAUAAGAAUUA